rnacentral:rRNA from 1 species
AGUGAACGCUGGCGGUAGGCCUAACACAUGCAAGUCGAACGGCAGCACAGGAGAGCUUGCUCUCUGGGUGGCGAGUGGCGGACGGGUGAGGAAUACAUCGGAAUCUACUUUUUCGUGGGGGAUAACGUAGGGAAACUUACGCUAAUACCGCAUACGACCUACGGGUGAAAGCAGGGGAUCUUCGGACCUUGCGCGAUUGAAUGAGCCGAUGUCGGAUUAGCUAGUUGGCGGGGUAAGGGCCACCAAGGCGACGAUCCGUAGCUGGUCUGAGAGGAUGGUCAGCCACACUGGAACUGAGACACGGUCCAGGGUCCUACGGGAGGCAGCAGUGGGGAAUAUUGGACAAUGGGCGCAAGCCUGAUCCAGCCAUACCGCGUGGGUGAAGAAGGCCUUCGGGUUGUAAAGCCCUUUUGUUGGGAAAGAAAUCCAGCUGGUUAAUACCCGGUUGGGAUGACGGUACCCAAAGAAUAAGCACCGGCUAACUUCGUGCCAGCCGCCGCCGUAA